rnacentral:misc_RNA from 1 species
UACAGAGGUCCCGAGCGUUGUUCGGAUUCACUUGUCGUAAAGGGUGCGUAGGUGGCAUGGCAAGUUUGAUGUGAAAGCUCAGGGCUCAACCCUGAAAUGGCAUUGAAUACUGCUGUGCUGGAGGAUUGGAGGGGGGACUGGAAUUCUUGGUGUAGCAGUGAAAUGCGUAGAUAUCAAGAGGAACACCAGUGGCGAAGGCGAGUCCCUGGACAACACCUGACACUGAGGCACGAAAGCCGGGGGAGCAAACAGG